GACGAACGCUGGCGGCGUGCUUAACACAUGCAAGUCGAACGGAAAGGCCCUGCUUUUGUGGGGUGCUCGAGUGGCGAACGGGUGAGUAACACGUGAGUAACCUGCCCUUGACUUUGGGAUAACUUCAGGAAACUGGGGCUAAUACCGGAUAGGAGCUCCUGCUGCAUGGUGGGGGUUGGAAAGUUUCGGCGGUUGGGGAUGGACUCGCGGCUUAUCAGCUUGUUGGUGGGGUAGUGGCUUACCAAGGCUUUGACGGGUAGCCGGCCUGAGAGGGUGACCGGCACCGCUGCGACGAGGAGACGGCCCAGCGGGCGAGGGGGGGGGGCGGUGGGGCAGAGUGGAGGGGGGGGGGGAGCGUGAGGCAGCACGGCGGGGUGGGGGCUGCGGGCCUUGGGGUCGUAAACCGGUUGCGCGUGUGGCGAGGCGGGGUUGGGGGUAAUGGGAAAAGCAGCACCGGCUACCAAAGUGCCAGCGGCGGUGUAACUAGUCGGAAGACCACAUGUCUGAAC
rnacentral:rRNA from 1 species